AGAAUUUCGGUCAAGGAUGGACUCGCGGCCUAUCAGGUAGUUGGUGAGGUAACGGCUCACCAAGCCUACGACGGGUAGCCGGCCUGAGAGGGUGACCGGCCACACUGGGACUGAGACACGGCCCAGACUCCUACGGGAGGCAGCAGUGGGGAAUAUUGCACAAUGGGCGCAAGCCUGAUGCAGCAACGCCGCGUGAGGGACGACGGCCUUCGGGUUGUAAACCUCUUUUAGUAGGGAAGAAGCGAAAGUGACGGUACCUGCAGAAAAAGCACCGGCUAACUACGUGCCAGCAGCCGCGGUAAUACGUAGGGUGCAAGCGUUGUCCGGAAUUAUUGGGCGUAAAGAGCUCGUAGGCGGUUUGUCGCGUCUGCUGUGAAAACCCGAGGCUCAACCUCGGGCCUGCAGUGGGUACGGGCAGACUAGAGUGCGGUAGGGGAGAAUGGAAUUCCUGGUGUAGCGGUGGAAUGCGCAGAUAUCAGGAGGAACACCGAUGGCGAAGGCAGUUCUCUGGGCCGUAACUGACGCUGAGGAGCGAAAGCGUGGGGAGCGAACAGGAUUAGAUACCCUGGUAGUCCACGCCGUAAACGUUGGGCGCUAGAUGUGGGGACCAUUCCACGGUUUCCGUGUCGCAGCUAACGCAUUAAGCGCCCCGCCUGGGGAGUACGGCCGCAAGGCUAAAACUCAAAGGAAUUGACGGGGGCCCGCACAAGCGGCGGAGCAUGCGGAUUAAUUCGAUGCAACGCGAAGAACCUUACCAAGGCUUGACAUAUACGAGAACGGGCCAGAAAUGGUCAACUCUUUGGACACUCGUAAACAGGUGGUGCAUGGUUGUCGUCAGCUCGUGUCGUGAGAUGUUGGGUUAAGUCCCGCAACGAGCGCAACCCUCGUUCUAUGUUGCCAGCACGUAAUGGUGGGAACUCAUAGGAGACUGCCGGGGUCAACUCGGAGGAAGGUGGGGAUGACGUCAAAUCAUCAUGCCCCUUAUGUCUUGGGCUUCACGCAUGCUACAAUGGCCGGUACAAAGGGCUGCAAUACCGUAAGGUGGAGCGAAUCCCAAAAAGCCGGUCUCAGUUCGGAUUGAGGUCUGCAACUCGACCUCAUGAAGUCGGAGUCGCUAGUAAUCGCAGAUCAGCAACGCUGCGGUGAAUACGUUCCCGGGCCUUGUACACACCGCCCGUCAAGUCAUGAAAGUCGGUAACACCCGAAGC
rnacentral:rRNA from 1 species